rnacentral:rRNA from 2 species
GCAUAUCAAUAAGCGGAGGAAAAGAAACCAACAGGGAUUGCCUCAGUAACGGCGAGUGAAGCGGCAAAAGCUCAAAUUUGAAACCCUCGGGAUUGUAAUUUGAAGAUUUGGCAUUGGAGAAAGCUAACCCAAGUUGCUUGGAAUAGUACGUCAUAGAGGGUGACAACCCCGUCUGGCUAACCGUUCUCCAUGUAUUGCCUUAUCAAAGAGUCGAGUUGUUUGGGAAUGCAGCUCAAAGUGGGUGGUAAACUCCAUCUAAAGCUAAAUACUGGUGAGAGACCGAUAGCGAACAAGUACUGUGAAGGAAAGGUGAAAAGAACUUUGAAAAGAGAGUGAAAUAGUAUGUGAAAUUGUUGAUAGGGAAGGAAAUGAGUGGAGAGUGGCCGAGGUUUCAGCCGCCCCUCGUGGGCGGUGUACUGCCGACGCCGAGUCAUCGAUAGCGAGACGAGGGUUACAAAUGGGAGCGCCUUCGGGCGUUCUCCCCUAACCCUCCACACUGCCACCGACGACAUAAUCCACCCAUUUCACCCGUCUUGAAACACGGACC